UUUAGCUCAGUUGGUAGAGCGCGUGCUUAGCAUGCACGAGGUCACCGGUUCGAUUCCGGUAUCCUCC
rnacentral:tRNA from 1 species